AAUUUUCUUUUCUAAUCAUAACAGUAGCUGGAUUUUUGCCCGUUGGGGACUUUCCUUGAGAACCAGUCAAAAUGGCUUUCUCAUUCUUCUUCAAUUCCUGUUGUAUUUCCUUAUUCACACUUCAUCCGUUGAAUUCGCUUCUAAUCCUGCAAGGGAUUGAAAUUGAGAUCCCAUUACUUUCUCCUUAGAAAUACUGUUUCCUUUUUUGUUUCCUUCCAAAGUGACGUACCUAGUCCACCGCUCCACUAGCAUCUAGGGGCCAUAAUCUCAACCUCUGACCGUCGUAGAAUUUGCAGAUACUUGAAUCGUUGACUCCACCUCCUUUACCGUCUUUUUGAGAUGAGUGGUAUUCAAACAGCUUUCCUUGUUGUGCCCAUAGCGUUCAUAUGAGAAACAAAACACAAGUAAGUUUUCAUAUUCGAUCUUUUAGAGGUUGCCAUUAAUAAGGAGCUUAGAAAUCAAUGGUUUCCUUAAAUUGACAUAGACAGCCAUACAAGUAAAAUGACCCCUUGCCCUGCUAUCAAUGCUGAAAUCCAAUUUUGUUACUUUUUCGACCAUUCCCCCAAUCUCCAUUAGGAUCUGCUUUUUGUAUAGGUGGCUGGGAAGACUUGGGAAUCGAAUCCAGGUAAGAACUAUAUUAAGGUAGUAGCCCAGGGUUAAAAUCGAUUGUUCAAGGCUAGACUGUUAGGUAUUGGUAAAAAAUAAACCAUGGACCCUGGGAUAAAAUCUUUUCAGUCUUUGGCACUUUGGAAUUUGGCUAAAAAAUAUCGAUUUUCAAUAUCCAUCAAUUUGAAAAGGCUUAGAGGGCCUUCAAAUUCCAUAUAAUCUAUUUUGUUGAGUCGUAAAUCCGAUGUUCCGUCCCAGCAUCUUGAAUACCACAGAGGUAGCCAUUUCCUUUUCUAGGAGUAGAUAUAUUCUCUCCGAGAAAUCAAUGGAGGGAAUACCAUUAACAACUGAUUUCUUGACAUCCUGUUCCAAGAGGGAAAAACUAUCAUCAACAUGUUGGGUACCACUUGCAUCUUUUUGUUCAAUAGUUUCUUUUCCCACUAACAGAUCCUUCUAAGACAGAGAAGGCAUUGGUGAAGGCUCCACAACCAUCACAUCCUCUGGGAUCUCAUUCGAUUCUUGAAUCGGACCUUCUUUAUGUUUGGAUCUUCGGGAGGAAUAUCACCUUCUCCAUUCCUAUCACAAGAAGAAAUCCAGGAAGACGAGAGCAUAUUCGAAGUCUAAAGGAUGAUGGAUAAAAUGAUAUUUAGUCCUUAAAUUUAGUUUUAAAAUUUUGAUUUUUGGGUGUUUUUUUUUGUUGGCAUUAGUCUCAC
rnacentral:lncRNA from 1 species